GCGAUGGUGGCGGAAUUGGCAUACGCGCACGUUUGAGGGGCGUGUCCGCAAGGGUAUGGGUUCAAGUCCCAUCCAUCGCACCA
rnacentral:tRNA from 1 species